rnacentral:tRNA from 1 species
GCGCGGUUGGUGGAAUUGGUAGACACGCUAGCCUUAGGAGCUAGUGCCGCAAGGCAUGAAGGUUCAAGUCCUUUACCGCGCACCA